UACGUAGGGCGCAAGCGUUAUCCGGAAUUAUUGGGCGUAAAGAGCUCGUAGGCGGUCUGUCGCGUCUGCUGUGAAAACUCAGGGCUUAACCCUGAGCUUGCAGUGGGUACGGGCAGACUAGAGUGCGGUAGGGGAGACUGGAAUUCCUGGUGUAGCGGUGAAAUGCGCAGAUAUCAGGAGGAACACCGGUGGCGAAGGCGGAUCUCUGGGCCAUAACUGACGCUGAGGAGCGAAAAGCAUGGGGGAGCGAACAGG
rnacentral:rRNA from 1 species